CAAGUUCAAGGGCAUCUUGGGUUUUGUGAACAAAAUUUGUUUAUUUGGAGCAAGGUUUUGUGUUGAAGCUUUGGUGUUGAAGCUUUCUAGGUGAAGCUUUGAUGGUGAAGCUUUGUAGAUGAAGCUUUGUAGGUGAAACUUUUUUAAGUGAAGCUUUUCGGGUGAAGUUUUUUUUUUUUGGGUGAAGCUUUGUGGGUGAAGCUUUUUAGGUGAAGCUUUUUAGGUGAAGCUUUGUGGGUGAAGCGUUGGAGGUGAAGCUUUUCGGGUGAAGCUUUUUGGGUGAAGCUUUUUAGGUGAAGCUUUGAUGGUGAAGCUUUGUAGAUGAAGCUUUGUAGAUGAAGCUUUGUAGGUGAAGCUUUUUUAAGUGAAGCUUUGUGGGUGAAGCUUUGUGGGUGAAGCGUUGGAGGUGAAGCUUUUCGGGUGAAGCUUUUUGGGUGAAGCUUUUUAGGUGAAGCUUUGAUGGUGAAGCUUUGGAGGUGAAGCUUUUCGGGUGAAGCUUUUUGGAUGGAGCUGUUUUUUUUUUUUUUUUUUUUUUUUUUUUUUUUGGCGCUUGACACGGUCUUCAUUUGCUUGUUUUUGUAGUGACUGUGGAAGACGGAUAUAGCUCAAUUACCUCUUUAUUGAAUUCAUUGCCAAAUGGCCUUCAUUACAUAGGAUGCCGAACGGCUAUAGCUCAACACUUGUACAUCGUGAGUCUAUUUAUAGUAGUACUUCAAGUGAUCAGCGUUCCAUGGAUGGCCAAGGGUCUUGCCAUCGGAGCUUCUAAGUGUGUAAGA
rnacentral:lncRNA from 1 species